rnacentral:rRNA from 1 species
GAUGAACGCUGACAGAAUGCUUAACACAUGCAAGUCUACUUGAACUUCGGUUUGGGUGGCGGACGGGUGAGUAACGCGUAAAGAACUUGCCUCACAGAUAGGGACAACAUUUGGAAACGAAUGCUAAUACCUGAUAUUAUGAUUUUAGGGCAUCCUAGAAUUAUGAAAGCUAUAUGCACUGUGAGAGAGCUUUGCGUCCCAUUAGCUAGUUGGAGAGGUAACGGCUCACCAAGGCGAUGAUGGGUAGCCGGCCUGAGAGGGUGAUCGGCCACAAGGGGACUGAGACACGGACCUUACUCCUACGGGAGGCAGCAGUGGGGAAUAUUGGACAAUGGACCAAGAGUCUGAUCCAGCAAUUCUGUGUGCACGAUGAAGUUUUUCGGAAUGUAAAGGGCUUUCAGUUGGGAAGAAAAAAAUGACGGUACCAACAGAAGAAGUGACGGCUAAAUACGUG